UACGUAGGGUGCAAGCGUUAAUCGGAAUUACUGGGCGUAAAGCGUGCGCAGGCGGCUAUGCAAGACAGAUGUGAAAUCCCCGGGCUUAACCUGGGAACUGCAUUUGUGACUGCAUGGCUAGAGUACGGUAGAGGGGGAUGGAAUUCCGCGUGUAGCAGUGAAAUGCGUAGAUAUGCGGAGGAACACCGAUGGCGAAGGCAGCCCCCUGGGUCAAGACUGACGCUCAUGCACGAAAGCGUGGGGAGCAAACAGG
rnacentral:rRNA from 1 species